rnacentral:rRNA from 1 species
UACAGAGACUGCAAGCGUUAUUCGGAUUCACUGGGCGUAAAGGGUGCGCAGGCGGCCAAGUGUGUCAGGUGUGAAAUCCCGAGGCUUAACCUCGGAACUGCGCCUGAAACUACUUGGCUAGAGUACUGGAGAGGGUAACGGAAUUCACGGUGUAGCAGUGAAAUGCGUAGAUAUCGUGAGGAACACCAGAGGCGAAAGCGGCUCACUGGACCACAACUGACGCUGAGGCGCGAAAGCUAGGGGAGCAAACAGG